GAGCUGAGAAAUUUGUCAUCCAGUAUCUACCAACAGAACCCAAUCUAUCUUCUGUGCUCCCUAACCAAGAAGAUAGCAAGGAGAGAUGUAGAUGUUACGAACAAUGCAGCAGGUUUACAGGAUAACUAAGACUAGUGUGGAUGAAAAAAGAGCAAGGAAUAAACAAACCAAGAGAAACUGGACCUUAAAAUACAGAAUCCUUCUUCUGUCAUUGGGCAAUAGAUUACACCUGGUCUUAGGUUUGCCCAGAUCAAGACAAUUUCAAGCCAUUGUGAAACUGACUUUUUUUUUAUCAAGUUUAGGUGACAUUCUAAAAUAUAGUCAAUCUAAAGAGCACCAGGAAGAGCUGGAAUGAGAGCUAAGAUGCUGUAAUGAUUUGCCUACAACUGGAAACUAUGCUUCAACUUCCCAUUUGGGCAUAGAAACCCACUGAGUGACCUUGGGAAAGUCAUACAUUCUCAGAGGAAAUCAAAAGCAAACCCUCUCAGAAUAAAUCUUGCAAAGAACA